rnacentral:rRNA from 1 species
UACGUAGGGUGCAAGCGUUGUCCGGAAUUAUUGGGCGUAAAGAGCUCGUAGGCGGUUUGUUGCGUCGGCUGUGAAAUCCCGAGGCUCAACCUCGGGUCUGCAGUCGAUACGAGCAAACUAGAGUGUUGCAGGGGAGACUGGAAUUCCUGGUGUAGCGGUGAAAUGACGCAGAUAUCAGGAGGAACACCGGUGGCGAAGGCGGUUCUCUGGGCGAUGUCCUGACGCUGGAGGAGCGAAAGUGUGGGGAGCGAACAGG